rnacentral:rRNA from 1 species
AAAUGAAUAGACGGGGGCCCGCACAAGCGGUGGAGCAUGUGGCUUAAUUCGAGGCAACGCGAAAAACCUUACCCAGGCUUGACAUGUAGGGGACCGGCUGUGAAAGCAGCCUUCUCUUCGGAGCCCUUAUGCAGGUGCUGCAUGGCUGUCGUCAGCUCGUGCUGUGAAGUGUUCGGUUAAGUCCGGCAACGAGCGCAACCCACGUGAUUAUUUGCCAGCGGGUAAAGCCGGGAACUAUAAUCAGACUGCCCGUGUUAAGCGGGAGGAAGGCGUGGAUGACGUCAAGUCCGUAUGGCCUUUAUGCCUGGGGCUGCACACGUGCUACAAUGGACGGUACAAUGGGGAGCAAUGCCGCGAGGCGGAGCAAAUCCUGAAAACCGUUCUUAGUUCGGAUUGGAGUCUGCAACUCGACUCCAUGAAGCCGGAAUCGCUAGUAAAGGCGUAUCAGCUACGACGCCUUGAAUACGUUCCCGGGCCUUGUACACACCGCCCGU